CGCAACCCUGCCCAUCGAUAAUUCAUUUGUUCGCAGCCCCUACCAUCGAUCAAAAUCAUCUCGCACCCACCGAUUUUUUGGUAGCGCAUGCCCUAUGCCGGUAUUUUCUGAUUUGUUUCUAUUGCUCACCCUUUGAGAUCGAUCUCCUUCCCGAUUCAUCCUGGAAAACAAAUCCUACCGAUUAUGAGUUUUAUUUCCAUUCUUUUCAAACCGAGCCCCACCCGAUCUGAAUCUAGACAAGGGGUUUUCCCUCCCUUCCAAGUUCAAACCCAUCACGUCUGUUCUGCCAGCCAUGGAAGAGAGGUCGGGGAGGGGAGCGUGGUGGCAUGUGGACCAACAAGCAGGAAAAGGACAUGCCGAUGCAGGCAGUGGCUCCUCUACCGCUCACCACGACCCCACUGCUGGUCGUGUGCUGGUUCUCCAUCCACCCCCACCUCCAACUCGAUCUUCGGUUGUCGCUAAUAGCUAGUCUGCGACCGUUCUGUGGGCCUACAGUGGUGCUGAUCCAAGAUGAUGUUGCCUUGCCCUUGAGCACGCCGCCGCGGAUGGCAGCGGCGCACAAUCAUCCGUUUCCGUGAGCCUGCCUCCACCGUGGUCGUGAUGGCCAUGCCCCAGUUGCGCUCAAGGCCCUCGCCUGCACACCUCUCACGAAAACCCUACCCAUUAGUUCUCCGCUGCCGCCCUACCCGAUGCACACCAUGUCGGAUCCUUCCUAUGGCCUGUGCCCCUGCCCACGCACUACCCAGGCAUGAGGGCCAUAGCAAGGGCCCGUCCGAUACACACACAUCACAGUCCACCAAAGAAUUGUUGCCCCGAGCAAAGGUGGGUUCGGUGGCGCCGGUGGAGGAAGAAUUGUCAAUGAGAACCUGGACUUAGAUGCAGGGUCAUCGAAGAGAAGGACAACACCCCAGCCUUCAUACACAUGAUGGAACACACAUUGCCGACGAUGCGGUACCAGGCCUACGGAAGAGAUCCUGAGGUAUGUAUGAAGCCUUCAGAGCUUUUUAGUUGAGCGACUGCAUAACUGAAGAAUUUUGUGUGUGUAGUCUUUCAAAGUUGAUUUAGACACCUUAGAAUUCAAGAUCAUGGUUGUCUGAUCUUUUCAAAAUUAUAUCAAUUAUUGUACUGUUUUCGGAUUGAUGAUGAGAGAUGUAGAUUUCUGAGAUUAGUUGCAAUGAAAUUUGGUUCAGUAAUUCAAUGCUUAGACAUACAAGAUGCUAUACUAGAGCUCAGGAUAAAAAAGUUUGGUCACUUUGUUUCAUUCUAUAAUGCCCGCCGCAGUACUGCAUUAGCACUAUCUUCAAAGAUGCGUUCCCAGAUGUUGUUAGGGAUUUCUUCUGGGGAUGAUGACUUAUGGAUCAAGAACACUUGCGACGAUAUGCUUCUGCAGCGUGAGACAUUGAAUGUGUGCAUAAAGACUAGAACGAUAGUUGUUUGCUGGGUCAGGAAGGUGAGGUAUCUGCGUGAUAUCCCUCGCAAUCUUUGUGAAAAAGCAUGACACUACUUGCCUUGCAUGUGUUCUGCAAUGACAAGGAGUAUGCUAUCGGCCACAGGGUAUGGGCUUCUGGAAAGACGUACUAGUGCGCUAAUAAGGCCAGCAGCCCGGGGCGCAAUGAUGUGCCUGUGAACUCGCCGCUGUCCGUGCAUAUCGGGCAUCCAAGCGUGCCCAGUAGUCACAUGGUCGCCCCGCAGAUGAAAAAAUCAGUUUUUGCAGAUAUUAUGAGGCCGAGUUGGGCGUUGAACCAGCAGUCCACGGUGGCGAGGAACCUGGUUACGAUAGGGUUGCGUAUCAUCGAGCCCGGCACUGAGCAUGUGCAUGGCCCAGCCUUCUGCUGACGGCAAUGCGGCUCCCUGUUUAUUAUUGACGUGAGAUUAUGUGGGAUGUAGGAUGUCCGCUUGUCCCAUCAAAAAUUAUGUGGACACAUAUGGGCCUCCCACUUAUAUUAUGCAGCAGAUGUAGUUGUGGAUGUGGAUUGGGGUUAGUUUGUUGAGUUACAGUUGUCUGAGCGAAAUAAUUUUCCUACUUUAGAAAAUAUGGCAAAUAGUGUUGCAUUAGAGAUGGCUUUGUAACAAAUUGCAUGAGUAGUUUAUAUUUUUUCCAUCAAGUCGUACAAUUUUUUGGUUAGGUUCGAAGGGUAAAUGCAUUGGUUGGUUGCUUCAAGACUUAAUAAUGGACAUGGUGGCAUAUUUGUGGCAUGCCCAAUAAUGGACAU